rnacentral:rRNA from 1 species
GACGAGGGAUCCUAGCGUUGUUCGGAAUCAUUGGGCGUAAAGGGUGCGUAGGUGGCUAUGUAAGUCAGUUGUGAAAUCCCCGGGCUCAACCCGGGAAGUGCUUCUGAUACUGCGUAGCUUGAAUAUUGGAGAGGUGAGUGGAAUUCCAGGUGUAGUGGUGAAAUUCGUAGAUAUUGGGAAGAACACCGGUGGCGAAGGCGGCUCACUGGCUCAUUACUGACGCUCAGGCGCGACAGCGUGGGGAUCAAACAGG